rnacentral:rRNA from 1 species
UGGGGAAUCUUGCACAAUGGGCGAAAGCCUGAUGCAGCAAUGCCGCGUGAGUGAUGAAGGCCUUCGGGUUGUAAAUCUCUGUCGGAUGGGACAAACGAGUCCUUGGAUAAUAUUCAAGGAAAGUGAUGGUACCAUCAAAGGAAGAGGCGGCUAACUCUGUGCCAGCAGCCGCGGUAAUACAGAGGCCUCGAGCGUUGUUCGGAAUUACUGGGCGUAAAGGGAGUGUAGGUGGUGACGUAAGUCAGAUGUGAAAGCCCUGGGCUUAACCCGGGAAGUGCAUUUGAAACUGCGUUGCUAGAGUGCGAGAGAGGAAAGUGGAAUUCCCAGUGUAGGGGUGAAAUCCGUAGAUAUUGGGAGGAAUACCGAUGGCGUAGGCAGCUUUCUGGCUCGUAACUGACACUGAGACUCGAAAGCGUGGGUAGCAAACAG